GUAACGCGUAGGAACAUACCCCAAACUGAGGGAUAACUGCUCGAAAGAGUAGCUAAUACCGCAUGUGAUCUUCGGAUUAAAGCUUCGGCGGUUUGGGAAUGGCCUGCGUCCGAUUAGCUUGUUGGUGAGGUAAAAGCUCACCAAGGCGACGAUCGGUAGCUGGUCUGAGAGGAUGAUCAGCCUGACUGGAACUGAGAACGGUCCAGACUCCUACGGGAGGCAGCAGUAGGGAAUUUUCCACAAUGGGCGAAAGCCUGAUGGAGCAACGCCGCGUGCAGGAUGAAUGCCUUCGGGUUGUAAACUGCUUUUAUUAGUGAAGAAUAUGACGGUAACUAAUGAAUAAGGGUCGGCUAACUACGUG
rnacentral:rRNA from 1 species